UACGAAGGGGGCUAGCGUUGUUCGGAAUCACUGGGCGUAAAGGGCGCGUAGGUGGCAUGUUAAGUUUGAUGUGAAAGCUCAGGGCUUAACCCUGAAAUGGCAUUGAAUACUAGCGUGCUGGAGGUUUGGAGGGGGGACUGGAAUUCUCGGUGUAGCAGUGAAAUGCGUAGAUAUCGAGAGGAACACCAGUGGCGAAGGCGAGUCCCUGGACAACACCUGACACUGAGGCACGAAAGCGUGGGUAGCAAACAGG
rnacentral:rRNA from 1 species